UACGUAGGUGGCAAGCGUUGUUCGGAAUUACUGGGCGUAAAGGGCGGGUAGGCGGCCACCGCAAGUCAGUUGUGAAAUCUCUGGGCUUAACCCAGAAAGGUCAACUGAUACUGCGGGGCUAGAGUGCAGAAGGGGCAACUGGAAUUCUCGGUGUAGCGGUGAAAUGCGUAGAUAUCGAGAGGAACACCUGCGGCGAAGGCGGGUUGCUGGGCUGACACUGACGCUGAACUGCGAAAGCUAGGGGAGCGAACGGG
rnacentral:rRNA from 1 species